UAGGGAAUAUUGCAAAAUGGGCGAAAGCCCGAUGCAGCAACGCCGCGUGGGCGAUGAAGGCCUUCGGGUCGUAAAGCCCUUUUUGAGGGGAUGAGGAAGGACAGUACCCUCAGAAUAAGCCUCGGCUAACUACGUGCCAGCAGCCGCGGUAAAACGUAGGAGGCGAGCGUUAUCCGGAUUUACUGGGCGUAAAGCGCGUGCAGGCGGAUUGGAGAGUUGGAUGUGAAAGCUCCCGGCUUAACUGGGAGAGGUCGUUCAAUACUUCCAGUCUUGAGUGCAGUAGAGGGAGGUGGAAUUCCGGGUGUAGUGGUGAAAUGCGUAGAUAUCCGGAGGAACACCAGUGGCGAAAGCGGCUUCCUGGACUGUAACUGACGCUCAGACGCGAAAGCUAGGGUAGCAAACG
rnacentral:rRNA from 1 species